GUACUAUGUCCAAUUUUCUGAGGAACCGCCAGACUGAUUUCCAGAGUGGUUGUACAAGCUUGCAAUCCCACCAACAAUGGAGGAGUGUUCCCUUUUCUCCACAUCCUCGCCAGCAUCUGCUAUCACCUGUGUUUUUGAUCUUAGCCAUUCUGACUGGAGUGAAGUGGAAUCUCAGUGUUGUUUUGAUUUGCAUUUCCCUGAUUUAAGGAUGUUGAACAUUUUUUCAAGUGCUUCUAUGCCAUUCGGUAUUCCUCAGGUGAGAAUUCUUUGUUCAGAUAUGGUCUCUACAGAUUCUCUCUCCCCAUUGUUCAGUAUUUCAGCUGUAAUCCCUGUUGGGUCCUGGAAAUAUCUUGCUUUCCUGGCAUCUGGGACUUUCUUGAAGCUACCCCCAGCUCGCCACCCCCCUCCACUGCUGCACACCAUUGUUCAAUUUACUGACCUUCUAUACAUCUCCUCCCACACCUGCUCCUGCCUCCUAUUCCCCCUCCCUUUCCUCUCUCCCUCCCAAGUCCCUCACUCUCUCUACCUCCUGUGAUUAUUUUGUUCCCCUUUUUAAGUAGGACUGAAGCACCCACUGUUUGGAUUUUCUUCUUCUUGGCCUUCAUAUGGUCUGUGAGUCAUAUCAUGAACAUUUCGAGUUUUCAUACUAAAUUCACUUAUCAGUGAGUACAUACUAUGUGUGUUCUUGUGUGACUAGGUUACUUUACUCAGGAUAAUGUUUUCUACUUAUAUUCAUUAAUGGAAAACGUUUUAUAUUUCAUUUUAUUCAAGGCUUAGUCUUGUGUCCUUCCCAAGAAAUUAUUUCUAAUUUAAUUCAGAUAUCUACUAUUGUCAAUGUAUUUUCCUGGGGACUUUGUCUCAGAAUUUUAGAAGUCCUCUACUCAAAGUAAUGUACAUGAAUAGCAAUUAAGGAACAAUACUUUGAUGUGGAAAUGGCUGUCCUACAUUCCUCAGAGCAGCUCCUGAUUGAGGGGACCAACAUCACCAUGAUGAGUAAAGUUGGAAUUCACAGUCUGGUUUUACCUACUCUAAUAAUAAACAAAAUAGGAUUGUGUUCCCAAGAAGUUGUGAGGUUUUAUAUUUUAUGUCUAGAGAUUUCUCCUGUACAAACUAGAAUAAAAGUCAUAGGUUGGGGAAAGCAGGGCACAGAAGAAAUGCACUUCCUGGUAAAAGCAGAUUCCUCCUUGAUAUAUCAAGGAAUUGUCAAUGUGGACAGUCACUCUUCUUUUUAAUCCCCUUUUACCAAUAACUCAGUUCCUGGUACAUGCCUUGUAAAUAGAUAAAUAUAGGUCCCAAAAUCUAGACUGUCUGACCAAAGAGAAACGAUCACACUUUGAUUUUCAGCCAGAUAUAUUAUUGAAUGUUUCUGAUAUACUGAAAAUUAUUGAGAAAACUGUGCUUUGAUUUCAAGGUGGAUAAUGCCUGAAAUUCAAGAAGGGUUGGCUUGAGUGCAUUAGCCGUAAAAGACUUUGUUGUAGACUUACAUGCCUGAUUGUGUUUCAGUCUUUACUGAUCAAUUACAGGGUAACUAGUAGCUACUUCAGGAGUUCAGAAAACAAAGCAUGUUAAUGGUGACUAAUAGCUUGUCACUGCAAUGCUACUGGUGCAUUGUUGAAAAUGUGUGCCUUUACUUUGAUGUGGGUUUAAAAUGGGAAGUGAAGCAUUUCCUCCUCCUUAAAUGUAUGUAAAAGGAACUUAAAUCCCCUUGCCAAAACAAAAACAAAAGAACAAAACAAAACAAA
rnacentral:lncRNA from 1 species